rfam:Trichomalopsis sarcophagae strain Alberta scaffold411, whole genome shotgun sequence.
UAAUCAGUCCUUUUUAGGACUACAAAAUCAAUAACGUAAAAUGAAU